CCUACGGGUGGCAGCAGUGAGGAAUAUUGGUCAAUGGACGAGAGUCUGAACCAGCCAAGUAGCGUGAAGGAUGACUGCCCUAUGGGUUGUAAACUUCUUUUAUAGGGGAGUAAAUUGUUCCACGUGUGGGAUUUUGUAUGUACCAUAUGAAUAAGGAUCGGCUAACUCCGUGCCAGCAGCCGCGGUAAUACGGAGGAUCCGAGCGUUAUCCGGAUUUAGUGGGUUUAAAGGGAGCGUAGGGGGAUUGUUAAGUCAGUUGUGAAAGUUUGCGGCUCAACCGUAAAAUUGCAGUUGAAACUGGCAGUCUUGAGUACAGUAGAGGUAGGUGGAAUUCGUGGUGUAGCGGUGAAAUGCUUAGAUAUCACGAAGAACUCCGAUUGCGAAGGCAGUUCACUAGACUGCAACUGACACUGAGGCUCGAAAGUGUGGGUAUCAAACAGGAUUAGAUACCCGGGUAGUC
rnacentral:rRNA from 1 species